AAUUCGAUACAACGCGCAAAACCUUACCAGCCCUUGACAUAUGAACAACAAAACCUGUCCUUAACAGGAUGGUACUGACUUUCAUACAGGUGCUGCAUGGCUGUCGUCAGCUCGUGUCGUGAGAUGUUUGGUCAAGUCCUAUAACGAGCGAAACCCUCGUUUUGUGUUGCUGAGACAUGCGCCUAAGGAGAAAUUGCCACCGAGUGACGUGCCAGCGCUACUACUUGAUUGAGUGCCAGCACGUAGCUGUGCUUUCAGCAAGAAUUUCACCAUUGGGAGCCGGUGCCUUUCGAAGCACUUUCACGUGUGAACCGAAGUCGUCUUGCCCAAGACCCACGGAGACCUACCUAUAGUGACGUCAAAGUACCAGUGAGCAUGGAGGUUUGGUUGAAAUUGGUUACGACGACGUCGAGUUGGCGGCGGAGGAAGACUCGGCAUGAAGGCCAGAAAAUGGUGUGGAACGUAGUGGUAAUAGUACGCGCCCCGCUCCGAAACAAAGAAAAAGGUGCGUGCCGCACUCACGAGGGACUGCCAGUGAGAUACUGGAGGAAGGUGGGGAUGACGUCAAGUCCGCAUGGCCCUUAUGGGCUGGGCCACACACGUGCUACAAUGGCAAUGACAAUGGGAAGCAAGGCUGUAAGGCGGAGCGAAUCCGGAAAGAUUGCCUCAGUUCGGAUUGUUCUCUGCAACUCGGGAACAUGAAGUUGAAAUCGCUAGUAAUCGCGGAUCAGCAUGCCGCGGUGAAUAUGUACCCGGGCCCUGUACACACCGCCCGUCACACCCUGGGAAUUGGUUUCGCCCGAAGCAUCGGACCAAUGAUCACCCAUGACUUCUGUGUACCACUAGUGCCACAAAGGCCUUUGGUGGUCUUAUUGGCGCAUACCACGGUGGGGUCUUCGACUGGGGUGAAGUCGUAACAAGGUAGCCGUACUGGAAGGUGCGGCUG
rnacentral:rRNA from 1 species